GAUUUCUGGCGGACCGGCGUGACCCGCUCUCUUAUGGGAGUGUGUGCUAUGUCGUGUCUGUCAUCCUUGCAGAUAGCGGCGUCUACCAUUGAUUUGGCCUGACGUUUGUGAUCUGCAUCGAUUACUUUGAAAAAAUUAGAGUGUUUAAAGCAGGCUUAUGCCUUGAAUACAUUAGCAUGGAAUAAUAAUUUAGGACUUCGGUUCUAUUUUGUUGGUUUCUAGAACUGAAGUAAUGAUUGAUAGGGAUAGUUGGGGGUGCUAGUAUUCCGCGGCCAGAGGUGAAAUUCUUGGAUUCGCGGAAGACUAACUACUGCGAAAGCAUU
rnacentral:rRNA from 2 species